rnacentral:tRNA from 1 species
GCGGAUGUAGCCAAGUGGAUCAAGGCAGUGGAUUUGU